CUGGAAAGUUACUCUCAGGCUUCAGGACAACGAAUCAACUAUUACAAAUCAUCAAUUUUUUCCAGCAAAGGUGUUCCAGACAGCACACGUUUGGAGAUAAAAACGUUGCUUAAUUUUACAAAUGAGACUCUUAAUGAAAAAUACCUUGGCAUGCCGCCUGAUAUUGGUACUUCAAAAAAUGGAGCUUUUAAGUACCUAAAAGACAGACUCUAGAGUAAGGUGCAAAGGUGGAUAGAAAAUUGCAUGUCCACGGCUGGUAAGGAGGUCCUAGUUAAGGCGGUUGCGCAAUCCGUUCCCGUCUUUUCCAUGUCAUGUUUUAAGCUACCAAGGGGUUUGUGUGAGCAUCUUAACAUGAUGAUCCAAAAGUUUUGGUGGGGCUCUAAGGAAGGAAAAUGUAAACCUCAGUGGGUCUCCUGGGAGACUAUGACAAAGCCAAAGGGAAUGGGUGGUCUUGGCUUCAAGGAUUUUGAACUGUUUAACUUGGCUAUGUUGGCGAAGCAAGCUUGGCGUCUGCUACAAGAGCCAAAUUCUCUUAGUGCCAUUCUUCAAGAGCAUAUAUUAUCCAACAAGUGA
rnacentral:rRNA from 1 species